GAAAAUAGCUAACAAUUCUGCGAAAUGAGAAAACUAAUCACGUGACAAGCGAUCCCCAAGACUAUAAGAGCUACCUCCUAUUCCUUGCGCCACUAGGGCAAUCAUUGUCACUACAUCCUGACGUUUUUAACUUAAUCUUAGCAAAAAAUACAUUUUGUUACAAUGUCUGGCCGCGGAGGACAAGCUGGAAACGACAACAAGUCAAACCAAUGCAAUCCAAACAAUUCUUCUUACCAAGGUCACCAGACUGGUUAUCAGGGAACUGGAACCACGUCUGACCUAAAUAACCACAGCAACCAACUCAAUCCAAACAACACACGCUAUCAAGCACCGAAAAAAUAAAUAAGAAACCUUUGCUUGACAGCAAACAUCUUGACAACAUGAAACUAUUAAAAACAAUUUUUAGCCAAGAUCUCUCUAAUAAAUGAUAAAUGUUGAUUUAUCUUUCUAAAUAAACUUUUUCUCCUUUAAA